rnacentral:rRNA from 1 species
GACGAACGCUGGCGGCGUGCUUAACACAUGCAAGUCGAACGGAAAGGCCCUGCUUUUGUGGGGUGCUCGAGUGGCGAACGGGUGAGUAACACGUGAGUAACCUGCCCUUGACUUUGGGAUAACUUCAGGAAACUGGGGCUAAUACCGGAUAGGAGCUCCUGCUGCAUGGUGGGGGUUGGAAAGUUUCGGCGGAUGGGGAUGGACGCGCGGCUUAUCAGCUUGUUGGUGGGGUAGUGGCUUACCAAGGCUUUGACGGGUAGCCGGCCUGAGAGGGUGACCGGCCACAUUGGGACUGAGAUACGGCGCAGACUCCUACGGGAGGCAGCAGUGGGGAAUAUUGCACAAUGGGCGGAAGCCUGAUGCAGCAACGCCGCGUGCGGGAUGACGGCCUUCGGGUUGUAAACCGCUUUCGCCUGUGACGAAGCGUGAGUGACGGUAAUGGGUAAAGAAGCACCGGCUAACUACGUG